GCCAGCAGCCAUGUCACCCUGCAGCCCAAGACUGGUUGCCCACUGAAGCUAAGCAGGGCUGAGCCUGGUCAGUACCUGGAUGGGAGACCACCUGAGAAAACCAGGUUGCUGCUGGAA
rnacentral:rRNA from 1 species